rnacentral:tRNA from 1 species
UCCCUGGCGGUCCAGUGGUGAAGACUUCAUGCCUCCGAUGCAUGGGACGCAGGUUCGAUCCCUGGUCAGGGAA